rnacentral:rRNA from 1 species
AAUCAACGCUGGCGGCGUGCCUAACACAUGCAAGUCGAACGAGAAAGUGGAGCAAUCCAUGAGUAAAGUGGCGCACGGGUGAGUAACACGUGACUAACCUACCCUUGAGUGGGGGAUAACCUAGGGAAACCUGGGCUAAUACCGCAUAAUACCUACGGGUCAAAGGAGCAAUUCGCUUUAGGAGGGGGUCGCGGCAGAUUAGUUAGUUGGCGGGGUAAUGGCCCACCAAGACGAUGACUGUAUCCGGCCUGAGAGGGCGCACGGACACACUGGAACUGAAACACGGUCCAGACUCCUACGGGAGGCAGCAGUGGGGAAUUUUGCGCAAUGGGGGAAACCCUGACGCAGCAACGCCGCGUGGA